rnacentral:tRNA from 1 species
GAGGGUGUAGCUCAAGUGGUUGAGCGCAUGCUUAGCACGCAUGAGGUCCUGGGUUCAAUGCCCAGUCCCUCC